AACGAACGCUGGCGGCAUGCCUAACACAUGCAAGUCGAACGAGACCUUCGGGUCUAGUGGUGCACGGGUGCGUAACGCGUGGGAACCUGCCCUUAGGUUCGGAAUAACUCCCCGAAAGGGGUGCUAAUACCGGAUAAUGUCUUCGGACCAAUGAUUUAUCGCCUUUGGAUGGGCCCGCGUUGGAUUAGCUAGUUGGUAGGGUAAAAGCCUACCAAGGCGACGAUCUAUAGCUGGUCUGAGAGGAUGAUCAGCCACACUGGGACUGAGACACGGCCCAGACUCCUACGGGAGGCAGGAGUGGGGGAUAUUGGACAAUGGGCUAAAGCCUGAUCCAGCAAGGCCGCGUGAGUGAUGAAGUCCUUAGGGUAGUAAAGCUCUUUUACCCGGGAUGAUAAUGACAGUACCGGGAGAAUAAGCUCCGGCUAACUCCGUG
rnacentral:rRNA from 1 species